rnacentral:tRNA from 2 species
GGGUCGUUAGCUCAGUUGGUAGAGCAGUUGACUUUUAAUCAAUUGGUCGCAGGUUCGAUCCCGUCAUCACCCACCA